UAUCCAUAUUUUGUCAUACCUCUAUCUUGUAUCCCAUUUCUUGCUUUGUAGAUUGCAACUAGUCACUUAAUCUCUACCAAUACAACACUUUGAAUUUUAUUGCGUGCCAUGACUUCUAGUAGUUUAAAAUUAAGACUAUUUGGUAGACUAGAAAGUCAACACAUACUUUAUGUGCAUGAAUACAUCGUAGGGAAGCAUUGCAACUCUUGAUGGCAGUGGAGUUAUAUGCGGAACGUGCGACUGGAAGUAGAGAGCCUACAUACUUCAUGGUGGUUAUGUAACUGUGUAUAUAAAAUUACUAUGUGACUCUCAAAUGAUUUGAUUAAUUAUCACCAUCUGAAUAAAUUAAUCAAUUUUUAUUGAAUUUUUUCUAGAAAUCGAAAGUCUGACUCGGCUUUGCCAAAUUAGUGUUUCCUAAUUAUAGAUAAAUAAAGAAAAAUAGUCUAUCCUAAAAGAUUUAUGACAAAAUUACUUUUUAAUUUAUGUAUAUUUUUAUAUAAGGUUGUAUCCUUUAACAUAAUCCAUAUCCUACUUUUUCAAAAUUUGUAUCGAUGUAUCCAUUUUGGGUCAUACCUCUAUCUUGUAUCCCUCUAUCCAUGCUUUAUAAAUUGUAACUAGUCACCUAAUCUCUGCCAAUACAAUAGUUUGUACUUAUGUCUUAAUGUGAGAUAACAUAAGUAUAUUGGAAGAAAUACUCUUUAAUAAUCUAAUUGUAGGUUAUAUAGUAGGCGAAUGAUAUUUCUCUGCUCCAUGUAGGCAUGUUUAUAUUCUAAUUCUAAUUUUCAUGUUUUAUUGUUUAUCAGUGUUAAGACUAAUAAUCAAUCCAUUAGAAUAGACCUGCGUUUCUAAUUCUUCAGUUACUUUCGGGGAUGGGAGCAAAAUUUUAAGAACCUUAAUUGUUCCUUUAUGUAGUGUGGGAGAAAAUAGAUGAGCAAGAAGGUUUCAAGCUGUUUGGGACCACAGAUUCUCGAGAACCUAAAAAUGCAGUAGAAAUACUCGAGCAAAGGGAGCAAAAGCUCUUAUUUUAUGAAUCCACUGAGUUGGGAAGAGCAAGCAACUUGCGCAAAAGUUUAGCUUGGGAUAGUGCUUUUUUCACUAGUGCAGGAGUUCUAGAUCCAGAGGAGUUGUUUAUUAUAAAUAAAGGAUUUCAGAAGGCUGAAGCUCACCUAUUACCCGUAAUUCAAGAAGAUCUGUGUAGGUGGAGAUAUGCAGACUCAGAAUCUACAUUAGAUAGUGAUGACUUCUCUUUGGACAGCAACCAAAGCACUGAGGUUGAUCUGUUUGAAGAAAUAAGAGCAUCCAUUGAGAAAUCCAAUAUAAUGUCCAAUAUUUGCAAGUCAGUUUGCAAAUCAGGAGUUGGAGAAGCCCACAAACGGGAAACCCACUGUAAGUAUAUUGCAAAUUUAGAACAAAUUUUAUUGUGAAUGGAAGAAGUAAUUUUUGCCUGUUCAUUUUGUAUGGGAAUUGCAAUGUGAUUGCAUUUAAGGUAUCCCAAAGAGAUUUAAUGGGUAAUCGGGCCUUCCGCUAUUGUUGAAGUAGGAAAUAUUGAAACCUCACUUGUCCUAAAUUCUUUUCUUACUCUUAGGCUUUGUAAGCAUAAUAUCCUGUGUUUAGGAGGUUGGUACAUAGCAUUAGUGUCUUGUAAAAAAUGUUAUAUGGUCUCCCUUUUUAUGCAUC